rnacentral:rRNA from 1 species
AUAACGCCAAUUGGUGAAUGACUAGGCUUGAGAGCUGAUGAAGGACGUGGCAAGCUGCGAUAUGUCCCGGCGAGGUGCAUGCAACCUUAGAACCGGGAAUUUCCGAAUUAGACCUCUUUAUGUUCAUUAAUAAGGGACAUAACUCCUUCGGGAGAGGGAACGCGGGGAAUUGAAGCAUCUUAGUACCCGCAGGAAAAGAAAGCAAACGCGAUGCCGUUAGUAAAGGCGAUCGAAAGCGGCAUAGGGCAAACUGAAUCUGCAUCCGCGAGGAUGUAGAGAUGUGGUGUUUGGCCCGGCAAUGGUCUUGUAACUAAUCAGAAGUCCCUUGGAAAGGGGCGCCAUAGAGGGUGAUAGCCCCGUACGAGUAAGAUUACAAGAACUGGCCGGUGUCCAGAGUAACGUUGGUCGGAUUUCCAGCGUGAAUUUGGGAGUUAACGACUCCUAACCCUAAAUACUUCUCAAGACCGAUAGUGUACUAGUACCGUGAGGGAAAGUUGAAAAGUAUCUCUAGCGAGAGGUGAAAAGACCUGAAACCAAUUGGCUAUAGUGCGAUAUAGCGUGAAAGGAAUGUAGCUUUUUAGGCGAAUCUCCAGCGAUGGAGUUUUACCCUUUGAAGCCAAACAAUGUUAUAUCAUCCGUUUUGAAAAACGGGGCAGGGAGUUUGUCUAUAUGGCAAGGAUAACCGCAAGGGUAUCCAUAGCGAAAGCAAAAGUCCGCAGCUUCGGCGAGGGACUGAGUAUACAAGUGCUCGAAGUCAUAUGGACCAUACCAGAAGCCAGUCGAUCUAUGCCUGGGCAGAGUGAAGUCUCUCGAAAGGGGGAUGGAGGCUCGUUACCGGUUCUGAUCCUAUUCGUUCGGGUGACCUGGGUAUAGGGGCGAAAUACCAAUCGAGACUGGUAAUAGCUGGUUCCUUCCGAAAUGUACCGUAGUACAGCCUGGCUAUAGAGUCGUGCGGGGGUAGAGUUACUGAUUGGGGAGCCCGGGAUGGAAACAUCUCACUUCCCUGUCAAACUCCGAAUACCGCAUGCUUGUAUGGCUGGAGUGAGGGCUUACGGGUAAGCCGUAGGUCCGAGAGGGAAACAACCCAGACCAGAGUUAAGGCCCCUAAAUGCUAGUUAAGUGUAAAUGAAGGCGUCUCUUUCCCAAAACAGCGGGGAGGUUAGCUUAGAAGCAGCAAUCCUCUAAUGAGUGCGUAACAGCUCACCCGCCUAGGAAAGGGGCACUGUAAAUGGACGGGGCUCAAACUAGCUGCCGAUACUUUGGUGCCUCACUAUGUGAGGUAGGUAGGAAGGUAUUCUGCGAGGGUAGAAGCAUCUGUGUAAGCAGGCGUGGACCACGCAGAAAAAAGAAUCCUGUCAGUAGUAGUAGUAUGUAGGGUGUGAAUCCCUACCGCCUUAAGAGCAAGGGUUCCUCGAAGAUGUUUAUCAGGCGAGGGUUAGCCGGUCCUAAGUGUUACCCUAACUGGAGUAACGCGAAUUGGGAAACAGGUUAAUAUUCCUGUGCCACGGUGAUACGUGCGGCAACGCAAGGCAAUCUGCCGACGCCUGAGGAUAGGUUGAGUACAGCCUAGCUGUAUCUAACUGUCUAAGACCAUGGAGUCCGUUAUGGAGAGAAGUGGUUGAAAGCAGGAUGGGCACGUCAUAUGGCGUGUUCAGCUAAAUCCUUGGGACCAUGAAAAGGAGAUUGCAAGGAGUCAUCGUGUCCGUACCGAGAUCCGACACGGGUGCUCUGGGUGAGAAACCCAAGGCGAAACGAGAUAACGCAGUUAAGGGAAUUCGGCAAAAUGGCCUCGUACCUUCGGAAGAAGGGGUGCCUGUUGUCUGCACUAAGUGUGGAACAGCAGGUCUCAGUGACCAGGGAAGUCGGACUGUUUAAUAAAAACGUAUGGGACUGCUAGUCCGAAAGGAUGUGUACAGUCCCUGAAUCCUGCCCAGUGCCGGUAUGUGAACUCUGGGUUCAACUGGAGGAAGCACCGGUAAACGGCGGGGGUAACUAUAACCCUCUUAAGGUAGCGUAAUACCUUUCCGCCUAAUUAGCGGAUUGCAUGAAUGGACUAACCAGAUUUCCGCUGUCCCUAACUGCUACUCGGCGAAUAUACCAUUGUGGUGAAUAGGCCACAGACUUUCAGCGGGAAGAUAAGACCCCGUGGAGCUUUUCGGCAGUCUAUUGUUGUGACACGGUUCUAGCUGUGUAGUGUAGGUGGAAGCCAUCGAAGUCUACUCGUUAGGGUAGAUGGAGGCGUCAAUGAAACACCACUCUGCUAUAACUGUGCCACUAACCCAAUUCGUUGGGGACAUCAGUAGAUGGGCCGUUUGGCUGGGGCGGCACCCUCCUGAAAAAACAUCAGGAGGGCCCAAAGGUCAGCUCAUCCGCGUCAGAACUGCGGAGAAGAGUGCAAGAGCAAAAGCUGGCUUGAUAUGAUUCUGCAACGCAAGGAAUCGUGACUCGAAAGAGAGGUCUAGCGAACCCCAAGCAAACCUAUCGUUAGGGGCUUGGGCUAUCAGAAAAGCUACCCCGGGGAUAACUGGCUGGUUUCAGGCAAGAGCUCGUAUCGACCCUGAAUCUUGGUACUUCGAUGUCGGCUCAGUCCAUCCUGGGAGUGCAGCAGCUCCCAAGGGUACGGGUGUUCACCGGUUAAAGGGCUUCGUGAGCUGGGUUUAGAACGUCGCGAGACAGUUUGGCAUAUAUCUGCUGGAAGUGUUCGUUGUCUGAGAGGAAGAUGUUCCCAGUACGAGAGGAACAGAACGUCGCAGCCUCUGGUCUAUCAGUUGUCUAACAAGGCAUUGCUGAGCAGCUACGCUGUAAGGGAUAAGCGCUGAACGCAUCUAAGCGCGAAACCUCCCUCGAAAAGAGACA